rnacentral:rRNA from 1 species
UCGAGCGGCAGCGCGGGGGCAACCCUGGCGGCGAGCGGCGAACGGGUGAGUAACACAUCGGAACGUACCCUGUCGUGGGGGAUAGCCCGGCGAAAGCCGGAUUAAUACCGCAUACGACCUGAGGGUGAAAGCGGGGGAUCGCAAGACCUCGCGCGAUAGGAGCGGCCGAUGGCGGAUUAGCUAGUUGGUGAGGUAAAGGCUCACCAAGGCGACGAUCCGUAGCUGGUCUGAGAGGACGACCAGCCACACUGGAACUGAGACACGGUCCAGACUCCUACGGGAGGCAGCAGUGGGGAAUUUUGGACAAUGGGGGCAACCCUGAUCCAGCCAUUCCGCGUGAGUGAAGAAGACCUUCGGGUUGUAAAGCUCUUUCGGCAGGAACGAAACGGUGGAGGCUAAUACCUUUCAUCAAUGACGGUACCUGAAGAAGAAGCACCGGCUAACUACGUGCCAGCAGCCGCGGUAAUACGUAGGGUGCGAGCGUUAAUCGGAAUUACUGGGCGUAAAGCGUGCGCAGGCGGUUCUAUAAGACAGAUGUGAAAUCCCCGGGCUUAACCUGGGAACUGCGUUUGUGACUGUAGGACUGGAGUGUAACAGAGGGGGGUGGAAUUCCACGUGUAGCAGUGAAAUGCAUAGAGAUGUGGAGGAACACCGAUGGCGAAGGCAGCCCCCUGGGUUAACACUGACGCUCAUGCACGAAAGCGUGGGGAGCAAACAGGAUUAGAUACCCUGGUAGUCCACGCCCUAAACGAUGCGAACUAGGUGUUGGAGAAGGAGACUUCUUUAGUACCGUAGCUAA